UACAGAGGGGGCAAGCGUUGUUCGGAAUUACUGGGCGUAAAGGGCGCGUAGGCGGCCUCUUAAGUCGAACGUGAAAUCCCCGGGCUCAACCCGGGAACUGCGUCCGAUACUGGGGGGCUUGAAUCCGGGAGAGGGAUGCGGAAUUCCAGGUGUAGCGGUGAAAUGCGUAGAUAUCUGGAGGAACACCGGUGGCGAAGGCGGCAUCCUGGACCGGCAUUGACGCUGAGGAGCGAAAGCCAGGGGAGCAAACGGG
rnacentral:rRNA from 1 species